UGGGGAAUUUUGGACAAUGGGCGAAAGCCUGAUCCAGCAAUGCCGCGUGUGUGAAGAAGGCCUUCGGGUUGUAAAGCACUUUUGUCCGGAAAGAAAUCCUUGGCUCUAAUACAGUCGGGGGAUGACGGUACCGGAAGAAUAAGCACCGGCUAACUACGUGCCAGCAGCCGCGGUAAUACGUAGGGUGCAAGCGUUAAUCGGAAUUACUGGGCGUAAAGCGUGCGCAGGCGGUUUGCUAAGACCGAUGUGAAAUCCCCGGGCUCAACCUGGGAACUGCAUUGGUGACUGGCAGGCUAGAGUAUGGCAGAGGGGGGUAGAAUUCCACGUGUAGCAGUGAAAUGCGUAGAGAUGUGGAGGAAUACCGAUGGCGAAGGCAGCCCCCUGGGCCAAUACUGACGCUCAUGCACGAAAGCGUGGGGAGCAAACAGGAUUAGAUACCCUGGUAGUCCACGCCCUAAACGAUGUCAACUAGUUGUUGGGGAUUCAUUUCCCUAGUAACGUAGCUAACGCGUGAAGUUGACCGCCUGGGAAGUACGGUCGCAAGAUUAAAACUUAAAUGAAUUGACGGGGUCAUAGCUGUUUCCU
rnacentral:rRNA from 1 species